UAUUUUUAAUUUAUUUCACUCCCUCUUUUUCUUUGUUAUUCACUGUCUCGCUCUUCACCAUAGCAAUGCCUCUCUUCCUCUGUCUCUCCACCACAUCACAACAACCAUAGCUCACCACCACUACAACCACCGGAAAUCACAUACCUAUACUUAGAAAAUCACAUACCAUAUUCAUACUGAAAAUCACAUCCAUUAGCAGCAGCAACUAGCUACCAUCACCACCACCACUCUGUGUUUAUGAAAAACCAAUUUCAACUGCAGGUGCUUGGCAGCAAAAGGUGUAGAGUCUGAUUUGCCGAGGAUUAUCGUUCCCUUUGCCCAGGUGACUGGAGCCUAAAACGGAGAUGGAAGACACAAACACAGACACAAACAAAUCUGGGAGUUGUGCCACAAUUGAUGGGAGUUGUAUCACAAUUGAUGAAGAUUAAACAUUUUGUAUUAAUUUAGUAGUUUUUUUUUAAUUUCUUAGACUUGUUGGAUUAAUAUGUUGGUUUGUAAUUAUUCUAAACUUGUGGGAUUUAUUUUGUAGCUUUUUAAUUUCUUGGACUCGUUGAACUUUUGAUACUUAUUUCUUGGACUUGUUUGAUUUAUUUUAUUUUUAUGUUUAGCUA